UGGCAGCGUCGGUUGGGGGAGGGCUCGCGCUUCUCUUGGUUGCCAUGGUGAUCUUCUGUGUCUGCAGGAAGAAGAAAAGAGAAGUUUCAACAGCGAAGUCUAAUGGCCAGUCAAACGAUGUUGUGUACUCGACAUGCAGAGGAGACCAAACCUCCCCACCAGGAGACAGCUAUGAAUUGGAAUAUGCGGAGGUGUCCAUCCUACAGAGGAAGAGGCGAGAGGAGAAGAGGAGAGAGGAGGAGGAGACAGUGGAAUAUGGCGAGGUCAAACUACCCUCGACGGACACACAAACACACACACACGAACACGCACACACACACACUCGCAUACAAACUCACCAGAAGACCUCUAUGCACAGGUCAGAAAAGGGCAGUGACCACACGAUUUAGGUGUGUGCAGAGUGCGAUUUGUCAGAAAUCCAGAAGGGGGGAUAUGUUUCAGAUUUUAAGCAAUAUCAAUGGAAUUACAUUGAACGGUGAUACAAUCAUUUAGAAAAAGUGGCGAUAUCAAGACCAGAAGGGGGGACAAUCCCCCCCAUCCCUCCUUACAAAUCGCACCCUGGCAGAGGUGGAAAGAGUACUAAAAUAUUGUACUCAAGUACAAGUACUGUUACUCUGUUGAAAAUGUACUCAAGUAUGAGUAAAUUUACCAGUCAAAAAAUCUACUCAAGUAAAAGUAAAAAGUAAAUAAUUUAAAAUAUACUUUGAGUAAAAGUAAAAAGUUACUUUUUAACAAUCAGCGUUUUCUGCCUCUAGAUGUGCAAGGGGUGCACUGGGUUAGAGGAAGAACAGCUAAUGUUGAGUUAAGUGAAUCUCCAUCGUCAGCCUCAUCAUUUGAGUGAGAGACAGGUCCC